rnacentral:rRNA from 1 species
UUACAGCCAUAUCAGGUUGUAACACUGGUUCUCAUACAAUCACUGAAGUUAAGCAACAUCUAGCCUGGUCAGUACCUAGAUGGGUGACCACUUGGAAAUACCAGGUGCUGUAAG